CGCACCUCGAAAUUCGUCAGCGGCCAGAUAGCACCUGUCCUCAUGCUUUUUGGAGGAGAGAUACAGGUGUUUUUGGAAGCGCUCUCGCUGCUGGCCACGAACUACAUCAAGCUGGAGUUUCCUGUCCACGCAGUUAGAAACAGCAUUGUUUAUUCCCCAAGUUAACUGCCAGGGACUUUUUACCUUCAGCAAGCUUUGAAUUAUGGCAGUUUUGUCCAGAACUGACUCUCAGCUUCCACCCUGAAAAUCACUGAUCUCUUCAGCAAGGAAUUAGCUGCAGAGGAGAGUCUCUCUCUGUUCGCCUGGGGGGACUGGCCAUAUGAAGGGAUUUCUAAAUGGCAGCUGUCCAUGGUGCUGAAAACAUCCAACACGAGGAAUAAUCCAGAAACCUUUGCCAAUUAUUGUAAUAUGAGCUAAACAGAUCUGCCUCUGAAUG